AGGCUUGCUGGUUCUGGAUGAGUGGCGAACGGGUGAGUAACACGUGAGUAACCUGCCCCCUUCUUCUGGAUAACCGCAUGAAAGUGUGGCUAAUACGGGAUAUUCUGGGUCUGUCGCAUGGUGGGCCUGGGAAAGGUUUGUUCCGGUGGGGGAUGGGCUCGCGGCCUAUCAGCUUGUUGGUGGGGUGAUGGCCUACCAAGGCGGUGACGGGUAGCCGGCCUGAGAGGGUGGACGGUCACACUGGGACUGAGACACGGCCCAGACUCCUACGGGAGGCAGCAGUGGGGAAUAUUGCACAAUGGGCGCAAGCCUGAUGCAGCGACGCCGCGUGAGGGAUGGAGGCCUUCGGGUUGUGAACCUCUUUCGCCAGUGAAGCAGGCCUGCUCCUUGUGGGUGGGUUGACGGUAGCUGGAUAAGAAGCGCCGGCUAACUACGUGCCAGCAGCCGCGGUAAUACGUAGGGCGCGAGCGUUGUCCGGAAUUAUUGGGCGUAAAGAGCUCGUAGGCGGCUGGUCGCGUCUGUCGUGAAAUCCUCUGGCUUAACUGGGGGCUUGCGGUGGGUACGGGCCGGCUUGAGUGCGGUAGGGGAGACUGGAACUCCUGGUGUAGCGGUGGAAUGCGCAGAUAUCAGGAAGAACACCGGUGGCGAAGGCGGGUCUCUGGGCCGUUACUGACGCUGAGGAGCGAAAGCGUGGGGAGCGAACAGGAUUAGAUACCCUGGUAGUCCACGCCGUAAACGUUGGGCACUAGGUGUGGGGGGCCUUUUCCGGGUCUUCCGCGCCGUAGCUAACGCAUUAAGUGCCCCGCCUGGGGAGUACGGCCGCAAGGCUAAAACUCAAAGGAAUUGACGGGGGCCCGCACAAGCGGCGGAGCAUGCGGAUUAAUUCGAUGCAACGCGAAGAACCUUACCAAGGCUUGACACGUUAAGCCGUAAGCACGU
rnacentral:rRNA from 1 species